rnacentral:rRNA from 1 species
AGGAUAAACGCUGGCGGCGUGCUUCAGGCAUGCAAGUCGAACGGACACUUCGGUGUCAGUGGCGGACGGGUGAGUAACACGUAAGUAACCUGCCCAGAAGUGGGGAAUAACUCGCCGAAAGGUGAGCUAAUACCGCAUGUGAUGGCCGUUCUUUGGGAUGGUCAUUAAAGGCGAAAGUCGCUUCUGGAGGGGCUUGCGGCCGAUUAGCUAGUUGGUGGGUAACGCCUACCAAGGCUGCGAUCGGUAGCUGGUCUGAGAGGACGGACAGCCACACGGAGACUGAGAUACGGCCCGACUCCUACGGGAGCAGCAGCUAGGAAUCUUGGGAAUGGGCGAAAGCCUGACCCAGCAACGCCGCGUGGGCGAUGAAGGCCUUACGGGUCGUAAAGCCCUUUUGAGGGGACGAUGAUGACGUACCCUGCGAAUAAGCCAGGCUAACUACGUGCCAGCAGCCGC